AGCUUCGUGGUUGAGUGGUAACGUAUUUGCCUUUCAUCCAGAAGUUCCGGGUUCGAUCCCCGGUCGAGGAGCUG